AGUGAACGCUGGCGGUAGGCCUAACACAUGCAAGUCGAAUGGCAGCACAGUAAGAGCUUGCUCUUACGGGUGGCGAGUGGCGGACGGGUGAGGAAUACAUCGGAAUCUACUUUUUCGUGGGGGAUAACGUAGGGAAACUUACGCUAAUACCGCAUACGACCUACGGGUGAAAGCAGGGGAUCUUCGGACCUUGCGCGAUUGAAUGAGCCGAUGUCGGAUUAGCUAGUUGGCGGGGUAAAGGCCCACCAAGGCGACGAUCCGUAGCUGGUCUGAGAGGAUGAUCAGCCACACUGGAACUGAGACACGGUCCAGACUCCUACGGGAGGCAGCAGUGGGGAAUAUUGGACAAUGGGCGCAAGCCUGAUCCAGCCAUACCGCGUGGGUGAAGAAGGCCUUCGGGUUGUAAAGCCCUUUUGUUGGGAAAGAAAAGCAGCAGGUUAAUACCCCGCUGUUCUGGCGGUACCCAAAGAAUAAGCACCGGCUAACUUCGUG
rnacentral:rRNA from 1 species